rnacentral:rRNA from 1 species
AGGACUAACGCUGGCGGCGUGCCUAACACAUGCAAGUCGAACGAAGUAGCAAUACUUAGUGGCAGACGGGUGAGUAACACGUAGUCAACCUGCCCUUCAAUGGGGGAUAACUAGCCGAAAGGUUAGCUAAUACCGCAUACGAUCUCUGAGUGGCAUCACUCGGCGAUGAAAGGAGUAAUCCGUUGAAGGAGGGGACUGCGUCCCAUUAGUUAGUUGGUGGGGUAAUGGCCUACCAAGACUCCGAUGGGUAGCUGGCUUGAGAGAGCGACCAGCCACACUGGAACUGAGACACGGUCCAGACUCCUACGGGAGGCAGCAGUGAGGAAUUUUCCGCAAUGGGGGAAACCCUGACGGAGCGACGCCGCGUGUGGGAGAAGGCCUUCGGGUCGUAAACCACUGUCGAGGGGGACGAGUAUUGACGGUACCCCUGGAGGAAGCCCCGGCUAACUACGUGCCAGCAGCCGC